ACGUAGGCGGUUUUUAAGUCAGAGGUGAAAUCCCGGAGCUCAACUCCGGAACUGCCUUUGAAACUGGAAAGCUAGAAUCAUGGAGAGGUUAGUGGAAUUCCGAGUGUAGAGGUGAAAUUCGUAGAUAUUCGGAAGAACACCAGUGGCGAAGGCGACUGACUGGACAUGUAUUGACGCUGAGGUACGAAAGCGUGGGGAGCAAACAGGAUUAGAUACCAUGGUAGUCCACGCCGUAAACGAUGAUAACUAGUUGUUCGGGCACAACGUGCUUGAGUGACGCAGCUAACGCAUUAAGUUAUCCGCCUGGGGAGUACGGUCGCAAGAUUAAAACUCAAAGGAAUUGACGGGGGCCUGCACAAGCGGUGGAGCAUGUGGUUUAAUUCGAAGCAACGCGCAGAACCUUACCAGCGUUUGACAUCCUUGUCGCGGAUUUCAGAGAUGAUUUCCUUCAGUUCGGCUGGACAAGUGACAGGUGCUGCAUGGCUGUCGUCAGCUCGUGUCGUGAGAUGUUGGGUUAAGUCCCGCAACGAGCGCAACCCUCAUCUUUAGUUGCCAUCAUUCAGUUGGGCACUCUAAAGAAACUGCCGGUGAUAAGCCGGAGGAAGGUGGGGAUGACAUCAAGUCCUCAUGGCCCUUACACGCUGGGCUACACACGUGCUACAAUGGCGGUGACAGUGGGCAGCAACCUCGCGAGGGGUAGCUAAUCUCCAAAAGCCGUCUCAGUUCGGAUUGUUCUCUGCAACUCGAGAGCAUGAAGGCGGAAUCGCUA
rnacentral:rRNA from 1 species